CCCAGGCUUUUAUUUUGUUACACUCCACCUUGUUUUAUAAGUCCCUUAUAAAUCUGGUUUUUUUGCUGGACUCUUCGUUCCUGGAUGGCAGGGCCAGCUUUUACCCUUGUUUACAUCUUUCACAGGGCUGUGCCCAGAAAGGCACUCAAUAAAUAUUUGUUGAACUGAAUUCUAUUUUCAACAUAUUGGACGAGUGUGGCAAAUAUUACAUGGAGUAAUUAAACUCAACUGAGGUUUCUGUAAAUUUAAAUUUUAGUUGAAUCCUCAGCCUCUUUGACUUAUAAGUGACUCGGGACACUAUGAUUCUGUGUAGAACCUGUGAAAUAUCUAACUAACUGGAGAAGACUUCCUACCUUGAAAGAAAGAAAAAUAUCAAAUCAUGUAUUUCCUGCUAGACUCCAUUCUCCACAAAGCCCAGAACUUGGCAGUCUUUUUUGCUCCUGUGUCCCCAGUACACAUCGCACAGCCUGGGAGACAGCACCAACUUCCUCUAUUGGUCAGACUUGGCGUGACGUGGAAGAAGCCUGGAACGGGGCAGAGGAACAUCUCCAGAGAGGCUAACCUCCUGAGUUCCACUCCCCUGCAGUCAUACCCCACACUAACUUCUGUGAAGUGGUCACUGCUUCGGAGAACUUUUGUCCUUCCUUAAAGAGGUAUUUUGACAUACUAAAUGCUUGCCUCUAUUUAUCUGUACGUUUAACGUGACCUUCCUAAUCAUCAGGCACAGAGCAAUCGUCCCUGGGCUGCUGAUCAGGACAUGAGAUAAUUAGCAAAGAGAAAGUCCUCCUGCCAGUGUGUGCUAUGAAUAGAAAACUUUCAUUUGACUUCCUGAGUCUUGUCCAAUUGUGAUAGAUCAUAGUUUGUAUCCUAACUUCCUGAAAAUUCAUAGACAAUACAUGGUUUCAUCUCAGAUUUAUGUAGGAUAUACUGGUUGGGGAAAAUGCAUUGGUUGUAGCAAAGGAGUCUUUUUCGAGCUUCAGUAAACGCUGUCUCUGUCUGUGCUUUUCUGCUGGG
rnacentral:lncRNA from 1 species